GGCGGCGUGCCUAAUACAUGCAAGUCGAGCGAAUGGAUUAAGAGCUUGCUCUUAUGAAGUUAGCGGCGGACGGGUGAGUAACACGUGGGUAACCUGCCCAUAAGACUGGGAUAACUCCGGGAAACCGGGGCUAAUACCGGAUAACAUUUUGAACCGCAUGGUUCGAAAUUGAAAGGCGGCUUCGGCUGUCACUUAUGGAUGGACCCGCGUCGCAUUAGCUAGUUGGUGAGGUAACGGCUCACCAAGGCAACGAUGCGUAGCCGACCUGAGAGGGUGAUCGGCCACACUGGGACUGAGACACGGCCCAGACUCCUACGGGAGGCAGCAGUAGGGAAUCUUCCGCAAUGGACGAAAGUCUGACGGAGCAACGCCGCGUGAGUGAUGAAGGCUUUCGGGUCGUAAAACUCUGUUGUUAGGGAAGAACAAGUGCUAGUUGAAUAAGCUGGCACCUUGACGGUACCUAACCAGAAAGCCACGGCUAACUACGUGCCAGCA
rnacentral:rRNA from 1 species